rnacentral:rRNA from 1 species
UGGGGGAAUAUUGCACAAUGGGGGGAAACCCUGAUGCAGCGACGCCGCGUGGAGGAAGAAGGUCUUCGGAUUGUAAACUCCUGUUGUUGGGGAAGAUAAUGACGGUACCCAACAAGGAAGUGACGGCUAACUACGUGCCAGCAGCCGCGGUAAAACGUAGGUCACAAGCGUUAUCCGGAUUUACUGGGUUUAAAGGGUGCGCAGGCGGCGCGCCAAGUCAGCGGUCAAAGUUCCGGGCUCAACCCGGUGUCGCCGUUGAAACUGGCGUGCUCGAGUGCGUGCGAGGAAGGCGGAAUGCGUUGUGUAGCGGUGAAAUGCAUAGAUAUGACGCAGAACUCCGAUUGCGAAGGCAGCUUUCCAGCGCGCUACUGACGCUGAGGCACGAAAGCGUGGGGAUCGAACAGGAUUAGAUACCCUGGUAGU